UGCUAUGCCAUGAUCCACAAUUGUGUCGACCAUCGUGCUUAUGUAACUUUAUUAAUUACAAAAUCUCUAUCUCUCUCUUUCGCUACUCUGCUAUUUUCUUCAUGCUUUGGUACUUCAGCAGUUGAAUGAGAAGUUUAUGAUGUCUUAUUUCUUUUAGGGAGUGGUUCAAUUCUUCUGGGCUUCUCUGGAUUUAUAUGUUCUUCUGAUUUUACCUUAUGCUAGCUAAAAUCUUCUAGCAUCUACUGUGUUUGUGAAGUUUGAAUAUCGCAAGUGUGGAGAGAAAACUCUUGCUAAUACAGUGAAACAUGAGAUGGAGAAAAAGAGGAUGAAUAUGCUUAAAUCAUCAUUGCUGGAGAUAUGGUCCAUGCGGCGCAACAAGUUGUCGGAAGAAGAUUAGGGAUUAAUUAGAUUAGAACUUAAUGACCUUGGUAUAUGAUGUUUUUGUUCUUUUUGUAAAUAAAAGCAUACAUUUUGGGAGAUUUAUAUUUUGA